rnacentral:rRNA from 1 species
UGCACAGACAACCAGGAUGUUGGCUUAGAAGCAGCCACUCAUUCAAAGAGUGCGUAAUAGCUCACUGGUCGAGUGAUCCUGCGCCGAAGAUUUCCGGGGCUAAAACUUACUACCGAAGCUACGGCAUCAGUAAUGAUGGGUAGGGGAGCUUCCCAUACGGGUUGAAGCAUGACCGUAAGGACAUGUGGACAGUAUGGGAGUGAGAAUGUUGGCAUGAGUAGCGAGAUGUGGGUGAGAAUCCCACAGGCCGUAAACCCAAGGUUUCCAGGGGAAGGUUCGUCCGCCCUGGGUUAGUCGGGACCUAAGCUGAGGCCGAAAGGCGUAGGUGAUGGACAACAGGUUGAUAUUCCUGUACUACCGAUAACCGUUUGAGAGAAGGGAUGACACAGUAGGAUAAGCUAAGCACACUGUUGGUUAUGUGUGCCCAAGCAUUGAGGCAGUCAAAGUAGGCAAAUCCGCUUUGAUAAUGCUGGGAUGUGAUGGGGAGCGAAAUUUAGUAGCGAAGUAGCUGAUUUCACACUGUCAAGAAAAGUCUCUAUCGAGGUUAAAGGUACCCGUACCGCAAACCGACACAGGUGGGUGAGGAGAGUAUCCUAAGGCCAGCGAGAGAACUGUUGUUAAGGAACUCGGCAAAAUGACCCCGUAACUUAGGGAUAAGGGGUGCCACCAUCAGGUGGCCGCAGAGAAUAGGCCCAAGCGACUGUUUACCAAAAACAUAGGUUUCUGCUAAGUCGCAAGACGAUGUAUAGGAGCUGACGCCUGCCCGGUGCUGGAAGGUUAAGGGGAUCUGUUAGAGCAAUCGAAGCAGUGAACUUAAGCCCCAGUAAACGGCGGCCGUAACUAUAACGGUCCUAAGGUAGCGAAAUUCCUUGUCGGGUAAGUUCCGACCCGCACGAAAGGCGUAACGAUUUGGGCACUGUCUCAACAACAGACUCGGUGAAAUUGUAAUUCCGGUGAAGAUGCCGGAUACCUGCGACAGGACGGAAAGACCCCAUGGAGCUUUACUGUAGCUUGACAUUGGGUCUUGGUACUACAUGUACAGGAUAGGUGGGAGGCUUUGAAACCAGGACGCCAGUUUUGGCGGAGCCAUCCUUGGGAUACCACCCUUGUAGUACUGGGACUCUAACCAUAGGCCAUGAAUCUGGUCUUGGGACACUGUCAGGUGGGCAGUUUGACUGGGGCGGUCGCCUCCCAAAAGGUAACGGAGGCGCUCAAAGGUUCUCUCAGUACGGUCGGAAAUCGUACGUAGAGUGUAAAGGCAAAAGAGAGCUUGAUUGCAAGACAUACAGGUCGAGCAAGGAUGAAAAUCGGACUUAGUGAUCCGGUGGUUCUGCGUGGAAGGGCCAUCGCUCAACGGAUAAAAGCUACCCUGGGGAUAACAGGCUUAUCUCCCCCAAGAGUCCACAUCGACGGGGAGGUUUGGCACCUCGAUGUCGGCUCAUCACAUCCUGGGGCUGUAGUAGGUCCCAAGGGUUGGGCUGUUCGCCCAUUAAAGUGGUACGCGAGCUGGGUUCAGAACGUCGUGAGACAGUUCGGUCCCUAUCCGUCGCAGGCGUAGGAAAUUUGAGAAGACCUGUCCUUAGUACGAGAGGACCGGGAUGGACGUACCUCUGGUGUACCAGUUGUCCUGCCAAGGGCAUGGCUGGGUAGCUAUGUACGGAAUGGAUAAGCGCUGAAAGCAUCUAAGCGCGAAGCCAACUUCAAGAUAAGAUUUCCCACCGCAAGGGUAAGACCCCAGAAAGACUAUCUGGUUGA